AAGGCAGGAGAAUGAGACAGCUCCAGGAUUAUACACAGAGAUAUGAGAAGACUGGCUGGAUGAAUUCCAGUCUACUCUAGAAUAGUGGAAAGAAAGGGUGGCUAAGUGGCUAUAGGCCAUAGAGUGGACUUGGAAACUUCAGCCAGAGAAUUUAGAUCUGAUGUUUGAGAAAAAAUAUUGCAAGGUUUUUAAGCCAGAGAGACAUGUUUAUAAAGGAGAGUGGUGUAGAGACUCCUGAGGGAUUUUUCCUGGUUUAGACACUCUAAUCCUCACAUGGUAGGGCCUCCUAAAUGCUGACCCAGUGGGGGUGUGGUUUGGCAUUCUUGCUGCAGGAGGCCUGUAUUUCUGCCCAGUGACUCUUCCUGCUCUGUCAUUGACUCAUCCCAGUGGCCGGCCCUCAUUGCUUCCCUUCUGGUCACCCUGUGAUCACAGAACUCCAGGGCUGCCUGGGAUGAUGGGAACCUGAGCUGCCUAACAGUGGUUAGGAUAUGGGAAUGAACAGCAUUCUCAUUCCUUUGCCCUGUCCUUGAAUAGAGGGAAGUUCAAGUUCAGACUGCUGCAGAUUACUGCUCAUGCUUACGGGGGCUGUCUACCAGAAGGUGUUGGUGGCUCAUGCCUGUAAUCUCAGCACUCAGGAGGCAGAGGCAGGAAGAUCUCCAUGAGCUCAAGGCCAGUCUGAGUUCCAGUACAGCCAGAGCUGUUACACAGAGAAACUGUCUUGCACAUCGCCCCCGCCCACAUCAAAACGAAACAAGUGAAAAUUUGUAUUUGUGGUAGUCCUUUGAAUAUGAGCCUUCCUUUUUACUAAUAGCAGUUGCUAAGUACAGACUACAAAGGGAUGAUGGGAGAAGCAAUGUCUCUGCAGUGGUAGGUGCAUUGGAGUGACUGACUGGGAUCACCAAAAUGACACUCCAUGCCACCCGAGCAGCCACACUCCUUUCUUGGGUGAACAGUCUUCAUGUGGCUGACCCAGUGGAGACGGUGCUGCAGCUCCAGGACUGCAGCAUCUUCAUCAAGAUUAUUAACACCAUGUGAGUAUGAGUACUCCGGAUCCAGCUAGUGGUGGUGGGCUCUGACCAGAAAACUAGGU